ensembl:lincRNA
AUUUCCUGACCUCGUGAUCCGCCCACCUCGGCCUCCCAAAGUGCGGGCUGAGAGAUCUUACAGUGCGAGGGGGAAUCAGGCCCUGGGGAAAGUCUUCUCAGGGGUUGUCUCCUUCUGUCUUCUGUCUCUGCAGUAAAAUGCUGUUGAAGGCCCACGGGCAUGACUGCACCCCUCACUAAUUGGUCAUUGGUUUGGGGAGGACACCACUGUCCCAGUGGAACCUUGAGCACACCUUGGAGCCCUCCUCUUCCUCUCCGGACCUGCGCCAAACUAGCACCAUGGCCUGGCAAGAUCCGACGUUUUCCAAGGAUCCUGGCUGAGCUCCUGUGGAACCUGCUUCUUACACUGAUGUGGUCCCUCGGCUGGCAGGCCCUUCUGCGGCCAACCAGGUGACACCUGCCAGUUAUGAGGGACAGGUAGGAGAGGAUGGGCUUUCCAUUAAAAAAAAAAAAAAGGUAAGUUUUUCCAAACUGCUUUUCUUUCAAAUUUUAAUCUUAAGACUAACCUACAUUAAUUUCUUAUAUCUCAUAAAGUCCAGAAUUUCUGAUAAUUUCAGUUCUUUUCCAGAGUGCAAAGAAGCAUUGGCUCUUCAGGUAUUAUGUUUAACAUUUUGCAGGAAUUGCUUUACUCUAUAGACAAAUAAACUACAAAUUUGAGACUUAUUUCCUGUGUCAGUAAAUGUGAACGCUUUGACUAAUUUCUCAAGUGUGUUGUUUUGACAGUGAGGCAGAUAGCCUGCUGUUUUGGGUCAAACCUACGUAAAUGUACAUGACCCCAGCAAGUACCACUGAAGACAUUUUGGGAUAUUUUCUCUAAAUUGAUCUUAUCUCAUUUACCAGUUGGAUGUGCUCUUGCUUUUUCUGCUCCUCUACUCAUUUCUAGUCUCCUUUUUUAAUUCUUUAAAAAAUCUUUUUGCCUCAAUUUUUUUGUUGCCCCUAAGGGCAUUGUGUUGGACUGCUGAUGCCAUUUACCAUUAAUAACUUUCUGGUCUCUGAACUAAAAAAAUAAACUUUUUUUUCUUUAGAGAUUCUAGAUUCAGCAGAGGAAUUCACAGCAAGAGUUGAUGUAGAAGUUGACAACCAAGGCCAGGCACGGUGGCUCACGCCUGUAAUCCCAGCACUUUGGGAGGCCGAGGUGGGUGGAUCACGAGGUCAGAAGAUGGAGACCAUCCUGGCUAACAUGGUGAAACCCCGUCUCUACUGAAAAUACAAAAAUUAGCCAGGCGUGGUGGUGGCGCCUGUAGUCCCAGCUACUCAGGAGGCUGAGGCAGGAGAAUGGCGUGAACCUGGGAGGCAGAGCUUGCAGUGAGCCGAGAUCGCGCCACUGCACUCCAGCCUGGGCAAGAGAGCGAGACUCUGUCUCAAACAAACAAACAAAAGAAGUUGAGAACCAAAACCCUCCACCAGUUCUUAGAAGCGAUCUCCAAGCAAGAGCAGGAAGAGCAGGGAUCCACACUCUGGAGGACUUACAGGUGCCCUCAGUCCUCCCCUCUGCCAUCAUUGUCUUGCAUUCAGGAUGAUUCCUCUUUAAAGGUGACAGUUUGUUUAAAUGUCUGUGUUGCCCCAUCUUCUAGAUGAUGCAGUUUUGUCCAUCACAGAUUCAUCCACGAAGGAGCAUUUACCUUUGAGAAACGCUGGGGACAUUGAAGUUUACUUAGAUAUCAAUGCAUGAGUUUCUGUCAGAGCACCAUAAAGUCAUGUUUCCUGAGACUGUGAGGGGUCUCUGUCAUCUGAGGGCCCCGCUGCUGCCUGCCUGCCAGCGUGCCCGAGGAUCAGAUGACGGAAUUGAUCAGAGUUUUUAAAAUCUAGGUGUUCCACUUGUGUGAAAUAUAUGCUAUGGUGCUCCAAGUUGAGUCCACUGUCUUGAACAUGAACAUCAAGUUGUAGACUGCUUCCUGAAAUGUGCAUGUCAUCCUGAGACCUGAGGGUGAACAGCAGGGGGCUAGUGAGUGCAAAUUGAGGGUAGGGUGGGUGAGAGAUAAGGUUUGUUAUGGAAGAAUAAGAAGGAAAAAAAUACGUUUUCUGAGAAAACAGGACAAGUUGAGACUGUGAUGGACCAGAAGGAUGCGACAAAUAACCUGUCCUGGUAAAUGAGAAAGGCACCUAAGGCAGGAGUCACUGAGGGACAGCUCCGUUUCUGUAAGUAACCAUUUAGUUACGGUUAAGUCAGUAUUUAAGUUCCACAACCAGGAAGUCACUUUUCAGUGGUUCCAGAGAAUCUAUGCCCUAAAACUGGAGAAGAACAUGAGGUGAUAGUUUCAUUGUCUCCAGAGGGUCCCCAAGCCUGCAAGGAAAGGUAACAGAACAAUGUUUAUAACAAAUUUCUUACUCUUGUCACCCAGGCUGGAGUGCAGAGGCGGGGCAAGAGUGAGCCUCCAUCUCGAAAAAAAAAAAAGAAAAAAAAACAAAAAAGAAAGAAAAAUAAUUUGUUGACCUCCUGGGUUACACCCAAUAAAGAAUAGAAGAGUUUGCCGGGCGCGGUGGCUCACGCCUGUAAUCCCAGCACUCUGGGAGGCCGAGGCGGGCGGAUCACGAGGUCAGGAGAUCCAGACCAUCCUGGUCAACACGGUGAAACCCCGUCUCUACUAAAAAUACAAAAAUUAGCUGGGCGUGGUGGCGUGCGCCUGUAAUCUUCUCAGACACCCAACCACCGGCUCCUCAGCCGGGGCAACUCCCUGUAAGAUGACGGCACCUUUCACGGCCCCCCACCCUGCCCCAAAUCCCCGAUCCAGCCCCAAAUCCCCGAUCCAAACCCCAACCCGCAAUCCCAAAUCUGCGAUCUAGCCCAGAAUCCGCGAUCCAGCCGGGUCCACCACAGCCUUCAGCAGCGAUACUCGCAGCCUCUGACCUCUCAGACCCAGUGAGCCUCACCAGGGCAUUAGCAGCGCGUAACUUGUGGGGAAGGGGCAGGUGAAGCCAACUGUCAGCAUUACUCACCUUUUCAACUGAUGAGCUUGCAUCAAUUUUGGCAGUUUCUCAUAAAAAGGCAAUUUUCACUCCUUGGGUGAUCACCCAGGUCCUGCAAAACUGAGCCACCAACCACCACCUGCACCACUUCCCAUGAGGCCAAAU